GACCCUUUAGUUCAGCGGGAGAACGCUUGCUUGACAGGCAAGAGGUCACUGGUUCAAAUCCAGUAAGGGUCA
rnacentral:tRNA from 1 species